AUAUAGCAGCCGGGGCCCGGGCGCCGCGCCUCGGAGCGUCCCGGCUUCUCCCGCGCGGGGGGCGAGUAAGCCAGCGGCAGGACCAGCGGGCGGGGGCCCACGACAAAAGCUGGCAGGCUGACAGAGGCGGCCUCAGGACGGACCUUCUGGCUACUGACCGUUUUGCUGUGGUUUUCCCGGAUUGUGUGUAGGUGUGAGAUCAACCAUGAGUUCCGUUGCAGUUUUGACCCAAGAGAGUUUUGCUGAACACCGAAGUGGGCUGGUUCCGCAACAAAUCAAAGGGGCGACUGGCCAGGCAUGAGGAAAUGAAUCAAGUACAGUGAGAUUUAACAUGUGGGCAGCUUUCUGGAAAGCCAGCGAAUUUGACCAUUGUUGCCACUCUAAAUUCAGAAGAGGAGAGCGACCCUCCAACCUACAAGGAUGCCUUCCCUCCACUUCCUGAGAAAGCUGCUUGCCUGGAAAGUGCCCAGGAACCCGCUGGAGCCUGGGGGAACAAGAUCCGACCCAUCAAGGCUUCUGUCAUCACUCA
rnacentral:lncRNA from 1 species